CCUGCCACUCCCUGGAUUGAGAAUCUGACGGUGAACAAGAAGGAUCCUGCUGUCCCUGGCUGCUCUCAGUGAGAUCUGCUCUGCUGUGGGGCUUUUCUCCUCUCAGUGAGCUCUGUGAGUGUGGCUUAAAUAAAUCACCUUGGAUCAGUGCAGUGGCCAAGGUCUGUGCCCUGGGCAAGCGAGCCAAAUCCUUCAGUUUCUCACUGCCCUGUCACCUUUACUGCCCUGUGCCCAGCCCAGGCCUUUCUCUGACCAAAAUUUCUGCAUCCAGGUGGUACCACAAGAUGUACUGAUGCAUCAUGAGGAUCUGUCUUGACUGAGUUUCCAGCUUUGGGUCUGCUUCCCCACAGGGGAUGAACUGGUACAUCUGGUCUGGAUUUGAGCAUUGCUUUACAAAGUUCUCUGGGAUCUGUAGUAAUGAAACAAGCCCAAAGCCACAGUCCCCAAACCUCUUCCUUUCCUGCAGCCCAACACUGAAAAGUGACUGCCAAAAACAGCGCUGUGGCUGUGUGUUUUCAUUACCACUGUGAUUUGUAUAACAAAUGCAGCCCAUUUGCAGCCAUGCUUUUGUUCUUCGACAUCUCAGGCCUUUGCCAGCUGAAGCCACGCCUGCAGCUCUCCUCUGGGCUGCACCAGCUUCACCAGCUCUGUGGCACAGGGUGGCACUGAGACAAAUCCCACAGGGACAGUUAAGGUGGCCCUGAUGGCAAUUGGUCAGCAUUUCUGUAAGGCAGCUCAUUUCAGACUUUUCUGUGUCGGACCAAAAGGCAUUUUGCUUGGCUUCCAAAAAGCAAUUAAACUGGAUCCAGAAAAAUCACUGAGUAAAAUGAAUCAUGAGGUGCAGAUCUCUUGGCUGCACAUAAAAUGGCAGUGAUCACACUGACAUUUUAUGUGUGAGUGUGUAUGUGUGUGUGUGUGUGUGUGUGUGUGUGUGUUCAGCCUACCUCCUGUCUGCUUAUUUUUCUGCAACAAAGGUUUACUCUGAGCCUUUGGCUGCAAAAUAUGUUGUAAAAGAUUGUUUGCUUGGAGUAAGUAUUUGAGGGCAUUUUCAACCUCCAUCAGGAAAGCAAAUCCCAGCAAAUAUUGAACACAACAGCCUGAGUUAGCCAGACCACUGCAGGUGCUUUAGCUGGGUGUUGGCUUCUUAGGUGCAUAUGAGUUUGAGAGCAGAAUUUCUUUCACCUGAGCUGGUCUCCUCCAACUCAGUGAAAUUACAGGAAGGUUUAAAAGAGUGGAUAGAGAAUGGUGGUAUUGGGUUGCUGCUGAGAGCCAGGCUGUCUAGAGGGAACAGCCCCUGGAGAACAGGUUUCCUUCUGACAGCAUGAAAAGGACUCAACAGACUUAACACAAAGCUGACAAGUCAGCAGGACUGUCAAUGGGUCCAGCCUGCAGAGAAAAUGAUCUUCUUGCAGACACCCUGCCACCAAGACUCCAUAAGGCAGGCUGGGCUAAUGAAUUCUUGUCUGUGCACCAUUGGAAUACCUGGCACCAUGCACUUCACCAAGAUCUGGCAGGAUUAUGCAAUUACAUUCUGUCAAGUCAGAUCAGGCAUGAUACAGUCUUUAUGCUGACUGUGGGAAGAUGGAUCAUACCUGACCCAGCACAAAAUCUGCCUGGCUGUAAGAUUUUUAAAGCAAAUUUAAACCAGCAAGGAAUGGGCAUGCACUGAUUCAGCACUUCUCACCCUGUAGCUGCACUGAUUGUUGGUUUAGGUUUGUUUUGUUUGUUUGUGCUUUUUUUUACUGGCAGCAAGCAUACUUCUGAUUUCCUGUCUUGUGGAACCAUAGCCACAGGUCCUGUGGUAGUGGAGAUCAGGGGGGAUUGAAUGGAAACAGUCAGAUCAAGAAGUGCUGAAAAAAUACGGUUCUGCUUUGCACCAGAUACCUUACAGCUUGCUGUUAUUACUGCUGUAAAUCAUGCUGCUGCUUCUAGCACUUCACCUCUUUCCUGAUGAAUUUUAGUCAUGGGGAGCUUCCCUCUCAUCUUUCUAAAGCUGGUGCUGUGUAGAGAUGAAAGAUUUACCAGAUUGUGCCACUCUAUAAGGCAGAGUUUUAUGGCAGUGUCCCUAUCUGUCAAAUGGGAGACUGGCUCUGAUUGUCUGACAACAUCCCAAGACAGGACAGCUGACACUCUGAACACUGACUGCCUAGAGAGGGGAACAGCUCUGGGGAGAUGAAAUUAAUUGAAUGCUGAUUCCAGGGAGCUUAUGACUUAAAAUUUUAUAAUUGAUUACGAGGGUUUUGAGGCUUAGUCUCACUAAGCAAUGUCCUGCCUGAAAGCCCUUCAGAGUCCAGGGAAGAAGACUUAAGUCAUUGCAAAACAAGCAGGCAGCCCACACUGAAGGGGGAGAAUGUGCCAGGAGGGGCAGGUGUUAACCAAAUGUGACAGAUGGCUGUGAGCAAAGGAGAAGGAAGGUUACACGAUGGUCAGAAGAAGAAAAUGAGGGGAGGGAGGGGGAAGUGACACAUCCCGUUGAGGACACACAAAGUAAGUGGAAAGCUGGGUUGGGUGGCUGUUAUGAGACCCAGAGAGUAAUGGUGUCCUAGAGAGAGAAGGGUGCUGGGUGAGAGUAUCAGAGAGGAAACAGGUGGGACUGAAUGGAAAAA